CGUGGUGCGGCCCUCUGUUGCCGUAACGUUGGGCGGGGCCCGGGGGGCGUGGCCGUGGCACCGCGCUCGGCGGAAGGAGGGCGGGAGGCGGCCCGGGGACUGUGGGCCCCUCAGCGGCGAGCGGGGAUGAAGGACCGGCUGGCCGACCUUGCGAAGUGUAAAGGAAACGAAGAUGGGGAGACGGUUGUUGUUGAAAAAGACCAUUUCAUGGAUGACUUUUUCCAACAGGUUGAGGAACUUAGAAAUAAUAUAGCAAAAAUCGCACAAAAUGUGGAAGAAGUGAAGAAGCAGCACAGCAUUAUCCUGUCAGCACCAAACCCUGAAGGAAGAACAAAGGAAGAACUUGAAGAAUUAAAUGAGGAAAUCAAGAAGAUUGCUAAUAAAGUCCGAGCCAGGUUAAAGGCCAUUGAACAAAGUUUCGAUCAGGGUGAAAAUGCUAAUCGGGCAUCAGUGGACCUCAGGAUAAGAAAAACACAGCACUCUGUGUUAGCUCACAAGUUUGUGGAGGUCAUGACGGAAUACAACGAGACCCAAACCCUUUUUCGAGAGCGCAGCAAAGGUCGGAUACAGAGACAAUUGGAGAUAACUGGGAAGACCACCACUGACGAGGAGCUGGAAGAAAUGCUAGAGAGUGGCAAUCCUUCCAUUUUCACUUCUGAUAUUAUAUCAGACUCUCAAAUAACUAGGCAAGCUCUGAAUGAAAUUGAGUCGCGUCACAAGGAUAUUAUGAAACUGGAAUCCAGCAUACGGGAGCUGCAUGAAAUGUUUAUGGACAUGGCAAUGUUUGUGGAGACACAGGUAAAUGAACCAGUUCAAACACGUUUACGUAAGUGGGGCUUUUUUCCUUUUCCGGUCUUCCUCUUUGAAAUACUCAGGAACAAUUGCUUAUAUUCAGAAAAUACAGAUUUAGUUGUUCUGACUGUGAUUAGAACAUAUGAAAGUUAAUCAAUCACUAAAGGUUUUUUGCUUUGCUUUAGACAAAUGUAUCAUCUAGAUACACUCGCAUGUGCUAUGAAUAACUAAGCAUAGACUCACUUUCCAGUUGGCACACUUUAUAUGCUCUUCAGCAUCCCUGUAUUGCAAUAUGCUUGAACGUUCUGUGCGCGUGUAAGUAAGAACAACUCCCUCCUGCCCUGUGGGCCAAUGUCUUGGAAGUAGGGAUUCUCCCAGACGGGGAAGGGAAUGCUGGGGUAAAACUGAAUGUGUGUUACCGAGGGUGUGUGCAACCUGCACGUGGUACAGAGCUGUGAUCACUGUUAGAACAACGUGAACGUAAAGGGAUUGACAAGCCGUUCAGUAUUCAUAAGCUUUGUCUUGACAUGGAUGUAAAGUCAGUCUGUUUGUAGUCAUUACAUACUAGUUAUCUAACAAAUAUCUUUAACUUCCAUCCCUAAAACUCUUUGACUUAUGCAGGGAAGUGGAAAGUAUAAAGUUCAGGAGAGAAACUUCCCUGAAAAGGCCUAUUUUAUUAACUAGGUUUUGUUCUAGAAGUCCUUUGUUGCUUUGAUAUUAAAUACGUAGCCAAAGCAAAUUAGUAGCAGUUCUUUUUUGAAUAAGAAAUGAACAAGUUACUUGUGCAUCAUUCUUUAAUGCUUUGCUGUUUACUGCUGCUGAUUAUUUCUUCUGAUGGACAGAAACACAGGGUGAAAUGAUCAACAACAUAGAAAGGAACGUGAUGAAUGCGUCAGAUUACGUGGAACAUGCAAAAGAAGAGACGAAAAAGGCAGUGAAAUACCAAAGCAAAGCGCGAAGGAAAAUGUGGAUAAUUCUCAUAGUGUCAUUGGUGUUGAUUGCCAUAAUUGCUCUAAUUAUCGGUUUGUCUGUUGGUGUUCGGUGAUGCUUGGAUAACCCCGCAUGCAUGACUUCUGCCAGGGGGCAAAAUUGAUGUUCAUAAUUAUCUGUGUAACCGUGUUGCUUCUGAUUCUUGGCAUUAUCCUGGUGACAACCCUGGCGUAGCACAUUCCAGGAGGCGCGAGCUCAGGAAAACCAGACCUUCAGCACCAGCCCAUGCCUUAUCCUGCUCCCAGACCUUCAGCACCAGCCCAUGCCUUGCCCUGCUCCGUGCUGAUCAGCACCCCUCGCUAAUGGUUACAGAUUCAAACAAAAUCACUCGUCAUGUUUACUGAUAAACGAAGAUCAGAAUGUAUUAGGAUACGGAUGGAUUUGCAUCAUAAACUCUACCUUUGUAGGACUGAAACUUGCUCUUAAAUUGUUUUGAACUAAAGUACCGUAGGAUUUUUUUUCAUCUCAGUGUUACAAACAGUUGCAAUAGGGAGCUGAGAGUCUGAGUUUGGACUGUUGGGCUUUUUUUUCCUCUUGCUAAUAGAAUUCUAAUCACGAAUUUUAGUACCUUACCAGUGCUGCUUUUGUAGCACCCUUGUGAACGUUUUUAUGAGACGCAGCCUUGUCUUUAAGUGUAUUAAUUAUUUAGUCACCUUAACCUAUAUAAGCUUUAUACUUAAAAAUAUUUUUCUCCAACAAGUGCUAAAAUAUUUUAUCCUAAAAAGACUACUUAUUUAACUGCCUAUUGCCUUACACUUGAGAAGACAAAGAAAAGGUUUAUUACGCUCUCCAGGUUUUAUUCUGUUUUAUUUUUCAAAGUGACUAAGGUAAAUUGCUUGAAAUAUUUCCUUGCCUUAUAAUAAAAAACCAGUGGCAACAUUUCUAGUAAAAGAACGCGGUAAUGAAGCACACUGAAUCGGAAUUUGAUCAGAUAAUUUUACACGUAAUCCUUGUGCGAAGGAACCUGCUGGAUCAAUUUAGCCGUAUUGUGUGUGUGAAUAGGAGAGAAAUCACACUUUACAGAGCCAAGUCAAGAUUGCUUAUUCAGAGCUUCUGAUGUUGGUGUGUGAUAGAGCACGUAGGGACAAGCUCCCCCAGAAGAGUCUGAAACGCAAGACAAACUAAGACACUGAUUUGUUAUGGGAUUUGUGUUGUGUAACAUAGAUGAAGUGUUUUAGGAUAUCCGUACGUCUUGUGAUGCCAGUUUGCCAGGCGCGAAAGGCUUAAAUGUAACCAAAUAACUGCAUUUAAUGUUAAAGGUUAUUUUUGUAUUUUUUUUGUGUAAAAUAUUUGUAACUUGAAUUUUUGACUUCUCAUGGUUUAACGAUAUGCAUGUAGAUAUGUAGAUAUAUUUACACUCUAAGAAAACGAGAGGAAAGUAUAAUGCGUGCCUUUUUAAACACGGUCGUUUCCAAAUACUCACCUAUAAUGUAAACCGCAAUAACUUGGUCCUCAAAGUUUAGAAUUCUGAAACCGAUGUGUUGUUUCAAGUGGCUGAGAUCGAAGUCGCUCAGUUGACUUCAUGACAUUCAGCGAAGUUUACAAUGUCUGUUGUAUGCAUGAUUAUUCCUGCUUUGCUCUCCAGAUACACUGUGAAUGUGCCGGAGCUCUUCACAUCUCAAACAUAGUCAAGAAAGAAAGAAAACCUUCUUUUUGGUCUCUUUCAAGUCAAACAGGAAGAAGUCGCUUGAAAAAUUUUGGCUUCGUUAUGAACAAAUUCCUUUACCUCUAAUCCAGAGCACUCGCCGUCGUUUGUGAGGGGGUUUACAUGCAAAGCGAGGAGCGAUUGGUUCCCUUAGUGCUCGUUCUAGGUAAAAUAUAUUUUUUAUUCUAUAGUUUUUUAGAUUUUUAUCAGUAAAUAUUAUUUAUACAGACACACAAAUUAGAUUGGGGGGAAAAACCAGGUCUGCUGUUUAACAGCUGGUGACCUAAAGUGACCCCCACAAUCCCAUCAUGUUGAAUUUUGUUAUUUAUAAUGAAAUAAUUUGCCCAUCAAGACCGGAAAUUGGAACAGGCCAAUCCCUGCGUUUUACUUGUUGUUCUACAGCCGCCUCAACGAGUUUGUUUUAAAACAAAACUUGUUUUUCACGUGAACCUCUUUGUUCUGUUCAUAUUGGAGGGGAGUAAAUCUCUAACCUAUGCACUAAUAAAUUGAUCUAAGCAAGUA